GGGCGAUUAGCUCAGCCGGUUCAGAGCACCUGCCUUACAAGCAGGGGGUCACUAGUUCGAAUCUAGUAUCGCCCA
rnacentral:tRNA from 1 species